AACGAACGCUGGCGGCAUGCCUAACACAUGCAAGUCGAACGAGACCUUCGGGUCUAGUGGCGCACGGGUGCGUAACGCGUGGGAACCUGCCCUUAGGUUCGGAAUAACUCCCCGAAAGGGGUGCUAAUACCGGAUAAUGUCUUCGGACCAAAGAUUUAUCGCCUUUGGAUGGGCCCGCGUUGGAUUAGCUAGUUGGUAGGGUAAAAGCCUACCAAGGCGACGAUCCAUAGCUGGUCUGAGAGGAUGAUCAGCCACACUGGGACUGAGACACGGCCCAGACUCCUACGGGAGGCAGCAGUGGGGAAUAUUGGUCAAUGGGCGAAAGCCUGAUCCAGCAAUGCCGCGUGAGUGAUGAAGGCCUUAGGGUUGUAAAGCUCUUUUACCCGGGAUGAUAAUGACAGUACCGGGAGAAUAAGCGCCGGCUAACUCCGUG
rnacentral:rRNA from 1 species